rnacentral:rRNA from 1 species
GACGAACGCUGGCGGCGUGCUUAACACAUGCAAGUCGAACGGUAAGGCCCUUCGGGGUACACGAGUGGCGAACGGGUGAGUAACACGUGGGUGAUCUGCCCUGCACUUCGGGAUAAGCCUGGGAAACUGGGUCUAAUACCGGAUAGGACCACUGCCUCCAUGGGGGGUGGGUGACAGCUUUUGCGGGGUGGGAUGGGUCCGCGGCCUAUCAGCUUGUUUGUGGGGUGAUGGCCUACCAAGGCGACGACGGGUAGCCGGCCUGAGAGGGUGACCGGCCACACUGGGACUGAGAUACGGCCCAGACUCCUACGGGAGGCAGCAGUGGAGAAUAUUGCACAAUGGGCGGAAGCCUGAUGCAGCGACGCCGCGUGAGGGAUGACGGCCUUCGGGUUGUAAACCUCUUUCAGCACCGACGAAGCGCAAGUGACGGUAGGUGCAGAAGAAGGACCGGCCAACUACGUGCCAGCAGCCGCGGUAA